GCCGGGAUGGCGAAACUGGUACACGCGUACGCUUGAGGUGCGUAUGCCGAAAGGCUUGGAGGUUCAAGUCCUCUUCCCGGCACAA
rnacentral:tRNA from 2 species